UUGAGGGCAGGUUUCCCGUUGCGAGGCCGAGCAGUAGCAUAAAUCUCCAAGCCCGAGAGGCGGAGUCGACAGUUGCCAACGCAUAACUUCAUCAAAGCGAGGGUCUUUAGCAAAACAACGGUCAAACAUUACACCAGAAAGGAGCAGCUCCUUUUUUUUCUGAGGAAGGACCUCACAGGUUCCUGCUAUUUAUAUUCCCGGCCUUUUAAAAUCCCGGCACACUGUGGGAUCAGAGAAUUGGGAGCCUAACGGCGGAGAGCAGACUGCAUACAGAACAUAAAGGCACGAAGUCACAGAGGGGGUGCCCCCCAAACAGGAUGUCCUGCCGUGGAUGAACUUUUGGGCCGAAGUUCGAGAGGGUGAAGAGUUCAAGGAAAACCGAGCCGGCGACAAGAGAGAGCAGAGGGAGAGGUGUCUGAGGAGACAGGGGUGAUUGAAAGGGGACGGGACAGGGGUCACGGAGAGGCCAGCGCAAGGCCAAGAGCUCACGGCGCACCAGGCCUGGCUGGGCCUCGCUGGAUCCCUGCAUGGCAGCUGUUUCUCCCCCCGGGCUGAGUGAGGGCCGCAGCCCUGCUGCUCAGAGUGCUGAUCUAGGAGCAGUUUUGCCUUUUAACUCAUAAUGGAUUAGGAUGUGGACUCGGGGGGGGAUUGCUGAUCCCAGAUCAGUUCUUCUGCUCUGAGAGGCUUUAUCAAUAUGGACCCAUCUUCAUGAGUGGAUUCUUACAGCUGCAGCCUGAUUUGAGUGAAAGGAGUAUUUUUCGUGUCAUGACCUGGUCACAGUCACUGCUGGACAGGUAUAGGCUGGUCUGGACAUGUGGGGUGAAUACAAAAUUUCAUUCUAAGGAUCUAUAUGUUAUAUGGCCUUCAAGGAAUUC